CCUACGGGAGGCAGCAGUGAGGAAUAUUGGUCAAUGGACGAGAGUCUGAACCAGCCAAGUAGCGUGAAGGAUGACUGCCCUAUGGGUUGUAAACUUCUUUUAUAUGGGAAUAAAAUGUUCCACGUGUGGGAUUUUGUAUGUACCAUAUGAAUAAGGAUCGGCUAACUCCGUGCCAGCAGCCGCGGUAAUACGGAGGAUCCGAGCGUUAUCCGGAUUUAUUGGGGUUAAAGGGAGCGUAGGUGGAUUGUUAAGUCAGUUGUGAAAGUUUGCGGCUCAACCGUAAAAUUGCAGUUGAAACUGGCAGUCUUGAGUACAGUAGAGGUGGGCGGAAUUCGUGGUGUAGCGGUGAAAUGCUUAGAUAUCACGAAGAACUCCGAUUGCGAAGGCAGCUCACUGGACUGCAACUGACGCUCAUGCACGAAAGUGUGGGUAUCGAACAGGAUUAGUACCCGAGUAGUC
rnacentral:rRNA from 1 species